UACGUAGGGUGCAAGCGUUGUCCGGAAUUAUUGGGCGUAAAGAGCUCGUAGGCGGUUUGUCGCGUCGAAUGUGAAAACCCGGGGCUCAACCCCGGGCCUGCAUUCGAUACGGGCAGACUAGAGUUCGGUAGGGGAGUCUGGAAUUCCUGGUGUAGCGGUGAAAUGCGCAGAUAUCGGGAGGAACACCGGUGGCGAAGGCGGCUCUCUGGGACGGUACUGACGCUGAGACGCGAAAGCGUGGGGAGCGAACAGG
rnacentral:rRNA from 1 species